UACGGGAGGCAGCAGGGGGAAUAUUGCACAAUGGGCGCAAGCCUGAUGCAGCCAUGCCGCGUGUAUGAAGAAGGCCUUCGGGUUGUAAAGUACUUUCAGUCGUGAGGAAGGUGUUAAGGUUAAUAACCUUAGCAAUUGACGUUAGCGACAGAAGAAGCACCGGCUAACUCCGUGCCAGCAGCCGCGGUAAUACGGAGGGUGCGAGCGUUAAUCGGAAUUACUGGGCGUAAAGGGCACGCAGGCGGUUAAUUAAGUUGGAUGUGAAAUCCCCGGGCUUAACCUGGGAAUGGCAUUCAAGACUGGUUAGCUAGAGUCUUGUAGAGGGGGUAGAAUUCCAUGUGUAGCGGUGAAAUGCGUAGAGAUGUGGAGGAAUACCGGUGGCGAAGGCGGCCCCUGGGACAAAGGACUGACGCUCAUGUGCGAAAGCGUGGGGAGCAAACAGGGAUUAGAUACC
rnacentral:rRNA from 1 species